GUACACGCUGUGACUAGCAUAUCAAUAAGCGGAGGAAAAGAAACUAACAAGGAUACCCCUAGUAACAGGCGAGUGAAGCGGGAAGAGCUCAAAUUUGAAAUCUUAAAGGGUUUCCCUUUACGAAUUGUAGUUUAAAGAAGUGUUUUCUGUUGAGGUUUUGGUAAAAGUUCUUUGGAAUAGGACAUCAUAGAGGGUGAGAAUCCCGUAUUUGACCUUUACUUUCAACUUUGUGAUACACUUUCAAAGAGUCGGAAUUGUUUGGGAAUGCAGUCCAAAAUGGGUGGUAAAUUUCAUCUAAAGCUAAAUAUUGGCGAGAGACCGAUAGCGAACAAGUACCGUGAGGGAAAGAUGAAAAGAACUUUGAAAAGAGAGUUAAACAGUACGUGAAAUUGUCAAAAGGGAAGCGUCUGACACCAGUCGUUGUUUUUCUGAAAAUCAAUUAAAGAACUGUUUAUGCUAAGCUUGUUUAGACUUUAUCAGCUAUACUGUUUAGUUUUGAGCUUUUCUUUAAUGCACUUUUCAGUUAACAAGUCAACAUCAAUUUCUUUUGCUGUAAAAAAGCUUGAGGAAGGUGGCUUGAGAUUCGUCUUAAGUGUUUAUAGCCUCUUGCCUAUGCAGUCGGAGAGAUUGAGGUCUGCAGCGUAGAUCCUUCGGGGCUAAAUGCAUUUGUGCUAAGUUAUAGCAUUUUAUAGACAACUUGUUGACUAUGAUUUGUCUUGUAGCUUACUCGCUUAUGUUAUUUUACCUACGCUUAGGAUGUUGACGCGCGUGUGUGCGUG
rnacentral:rRNA from 1 species